rnacentral:sRNA from 1 species
GUGCCCUUCAGAAGAGAAGAUUGAUGUGACAGCCCUCUCCCCUUUGUGGAGAGAGUUCUAAGAAACCAGAGACUAGCUGUAAACACUUUGACUGAAUCAACGUUGAAGAAUGUCCCUCAAGUGGUAAAUGUGCAGGAAUUGAAGAAUAACCCUGCAACCCCUUCUACAGCCAUGGGUUCUUCAGUGGCCUACUCCGCAGCCAAAACACCUCACCCAGUGUUGACCCCAGUGGCCGCUAACCAAGCCAAGCAGGGGUCUCUAAUAAAUCCCCUUAAGCCAUCUGGGCCUACACCAGCAUCCGGUCAGUUAUCAUCUGGUGACAAAGCUUCAGGGACAGCCAAGAUAGAAACAGCUGUGACUUCGACCCCAUCUGCUUCUGGGCAGUUCAGCAAGCCUUUCUCAUUUUCUCCAUCAGGGACUGGCUUUAAUUUUGGGAUAAUCACACCAACACCGUCUUCUAAUUUCACUGCUGCACAAGGGGCAACACCCUCCACUAAAGAGUCAAGCCAGCUGGAUGCAUUCUCAUUUGGUGGGGGAAGCAAACCUUCUUAUGAGGCCAUUCCUGAAAGCUCACCUCCCUCAGGAAUCACAUC